rnacentral:rRNA from 1 species
GACGAACGCUGGCUGCGCUGCUUCACGCAUGCCCGUCAAACCAUGAAACCCAGAUUGCUCGGUGGAUUAUUGGCGAACGGGAGACUAAUACCUGACUAACCUACCUUUAACUCUGGCAUAAGCCUGGGAAACUGGCUCUAAUACCAGAUACGACCAAUCUCCGCAUGCCGUGUUGGUGGGAAAGCGUUAUAUAUUGCUUAUACAUGGGCUCACUGCCUAUCGUCUUGUUGGUGACGUAACGGCUGCCCUUUGCGACCACUGGUAGCCGGGCUGACACGUGUGACCGGCCACUCUGGGACUGACACACGGCCCAAACUCCUACACGGAGGCAGCAAUGGGUAUGAUGCUCAAGGGGCGCAAGCCAAAUGCAUCGAAUCGCUGGAGGGAUGAGGCCAUUCAGGUUUUAACUUCUGUAUGCAGGGAGAAGAGAGAUUGACGGUACUUGCAGAGAAGCGCCGUCUAAUUGAGUUUCAGCAGUCGCGGGUAAUAUGUAGGGGGCGAGCGUUGUCCGAAAUAUUUGGGCGUAAAGAGCUUGUAGGCGCUCAGUAGCGUCUGCUGUUAAAGACCGGCGCUGAACUCCAGUGUAUGUCAGUGGGUACGCGCAGACUAGAGUGCAGUAGGAGAGAUCAGAAUUUCUGCUGUAGCGGUGGAAUGCGCAGAUAUCUGGAGGAACACUGAUGGCGAAGGCAGGUCUCUGGGCGGUAUCCGACGCUGUGAAGCGAAAGCAUGGGGAGCGAACAGGAUUAGAUACCCUGGUAGUACAUGCGGUAAACGUCGGGCAUUAGGUGUGGGGGACAUUGCACGUUUUACGCGCAGUAGUUAAGGCAUUAAGUGCCCCCCUUGGGGAGUACGGCGGCAAGGCUAAAAAUCAAAGAAAUGGACGGGGGCCCGCACAAGUGGCGGAGCAUGGGGAUUAAUUCGAUGCAACGCGAAGAACCUUAACAAGGCUUGACAUAUAAUGGCCUGCAUCAGAGAUGGUGUUUGCCUUGGGGGGGGGUAUACAGGUGGUGCAUGGUUGUCGUCAGCUGGUGUCGUGAGAUGUUGGGUUAAGUUCUGCAUCGAGCGCAACCCUGUUUUUAUGUCGCCAGCACGUUAUGUUGUGGACUCAUAGGAGAGUUCCGGGGUCAACUAGGAGGAAGGUGGGGAGGAGGUCAAAUCAUCAUGCCCCUUAUGUUUUGGGGUUCUCGCAUGUUGCAAUGGCCGGUACAGAGGGUUGCGAUAGUGUGAGGUGGAGCUAAUCCUUAAAAGCCUGUGUCACUUUGGAUUGGGGUUUGCCACUCGACCCCAGGAAGUAGGAGUCGCUAGUAAUCGCAGAUCAGCAACGAGGCGGCGAAUAAGUUCCCGGUCUG